GCCUUCGUGGUGUAGUGGUCAGCCCGCUCGGCUCGUAUUCAGGUUCGUGGUCCGUGGUUCGAGUCCUGGCGAGGGCA
rnacentral:tRNA from 1 species